rnacentral:snoRNA from 1 species
ACUUAUUGAUGCAGACAUAUUCUUACAAUAUCCUUUAACCUUUCCCAUGCUUCAAAUACCAUUUCUGUAUCUUUGUGCUCGAAGUUGUGGAUGUCCGUUCAAAAUUU